GACGAACGCUGGCGGCGUGCUUAACACAUGCAAGUCGAACGGGCCCGCUCUCUUUUUUGGGGGUGGGUUGAGUGGCGAACGGGUGAGUAUCACGUGAGUAACCUGCCCCCUGCUCCUGGAUAACUGCUUGAAAGGGCGGCUAAUACGGGGUGUGCCGGCUGGUCCGCAUGGGCCUGGUCGGGAUAGUUUCAUCUUCGGGUGUUUCGGUGGGGGAUGGGCUCGCGGCCUAUCAGCUUGUUGGUGGGGUGAUGGCCUACCAAGGCGGUGACGGGUAGCCGGCCUGAGAGGGUGGGCGGCCACACUGGGACUGAGACACGGCCCAGACUCCUGCGGGAGGCAGCAGUGGGGGGUAUUGCACAAUGGGCGGAAGCCUGAUGCAGCGACGUCGCGUGAGGGAUGGAGGCCUUCGGGUUGUGAACCUCUUUCUCCGGUGGUGAAGGCCCUGUCCGUUGCGGCGGGGUUGACGGUAGCCGGGUAUGAAGCGCCGGCUAACUACGUG
rnacentral:rRNA from 1 species